rnacentral:rRNA from 1 species
UACAGAGGUCUCAAGCGUUGUUCGGAAUUACUGGGCGUAAAGGGUGCGUAGGCGGACAGUUUAGUCAGAGGUGAAAGCCCAGGGCUCAACCUUGGAAUUGCCUUUGAUACUGGCUGUCUUGAGUUCGGGAGAGGUGAGUGGAAUGCCGAGUGUAGAGGUGAAAUUCGUAGAUAUUCGGCGGAACACCAGUGGCGAAGGCGGCUUUCUGGACAGGUACUGACGCUGAGACGCGAAAGCGUGGGGAGCAAACAGG